UACGAAGGGGGCUAGCGUUGUUCGGAAUCACUGGGCGUAAAGCGCACGUAGGCGGAUUGUUAAGUCAGGGGUGAAAUCCUGGAGCUCAACUCCAGAACUGCCUUCGAUACUGAGAGUCUUGAGUCCGGGAGAGGUGAGUGGAACUGCGAGUGUAGAGGUGAAAUUCGUAGAUAUUCGCAAGAACACCAGUGGCGAAGGCGGCUCACUGGCCCGGUACUGACGCUGAGGUGCGAAAGCGUGGGGAGCAAACAGG
rnacentral:rRNA from 1 species